GCCUGGGUGGCUCAGUCAGUUGAGCAUCUGACUUCGGCUCAGGUCAUGAUCUCACAGUUCGUGGGUUCGAGCCCCGCAUUGGGCU
rnacentral:tRNA from 1 species